UUCAUCAUACAUUCCGUCUGUGCUCGUCUCUUGACGUAGGGCAUAUAAUUGUUUGUUGCUCUUCGCGAAAAUGAACGUCGGCUGUCAGAGAAUUAGGUACAGAAGUUGGCUAAUAAAAGAAGACAAAUACUAAUAUGGCUGUUCGGAAACGGGGGUGGACAAAGCCGAUCUUCUGCAGGGGGUCGAGUCUACAAACUCACAUAGUCGGCUGCGGCACGAUGCAUUAGAUGAAAUGUUGAUAUAGACAUAUGCGCGGAUGCAUUCACCAGGAGUUAUUUUGGAAUCCUUGAUUACGACGGAGCAGUAAAACCGCUUCAUUUAUGUCACUCACAUUCGGAGGGGGAAGAAUUGCAUAAUGGUUAAUGAAAUACGCUGCCCUGUACUCCGCAUCCGAGUUAUAGUAAGCCGACUCCAAGCUGCCAUUAAUUAUCUGGAAAUUAAAAAAAAUUAAAUAGGAAACAAUUGAAAGAUCAAAAAUAAACCCCGUGAAGAAUAAACCUUGUCGAUUGUAAAUAGUAACAUAUAAAUUUACAAAACUAUUGUCAACUCGAGUAUCAGUUUUGAAUCAUCGACUUUUACGAGGUCAUCGGAUAAAGUGUUUGUCAUACUAUCGAACUACCGAUUAAAUUUUCAAUUAAAAAUAAAACGGUCAUGGAAUUUUCAGGAAAAUUUCUCGGUAAGUGCGUCACCUAUGCAAACUUGGCACUCGAUGUGUUAAAAAAUGAACCAUCGAUAUUUCACACAAUACUAUCUCGUUUGUAGUUGUUUUCAGUGGGGGAAAGAAAAAAAAUGGUUCGCACAGCUUGAUACCAAACAAGAUAGAGCUUUUUCCAAAAAAGUGUCUGAUCCACCUUUGACAUUUUUUUUUAUCUAAUCACAGCUGCAAACAAACAACAUCAACCCUAAGGAUUCAAAAAAAAUCCCAUAACUUUUUCGAGUUUACCGUCGAUAGUAAAUGCAUCGGUGUAAGGACUGAAUCGCGGCGAAACGUUAUUUCGAAUUUCUACGCGCUAUCAAAUUACAUUUCGUCGAGCGAUAAGAUUAUAAAGACUAUUCGGAAUCGCCACCUGAGGGUCAGAUCAAUUCAGCAAAAGGUUGUUUAGAAAGGCAUGUACAUAUAUACUAUAAUAUCGUAUAGGGCGUGAAGGAUAAUGUUUCGUAUAAGUUGAUUCAGUGCGCGUGCGGGCGUAGUAUACAUAUAAUAGCAGCGUUGCGGUGUAACCGUUGGCAUUGUGCUUUCUGUGACGUCCUUUCGGUGAAUAUUACUUCUAGUAACGACACCGUGGUCGACACCCUCGGCCACUCGUAUCGGGACAUGGAAAAACACUUUCCAUACGUUCCAUUAUAUUUGCCGGUUACAAAAUGGGCCGCUCUUCGUACUCAUCUCUGACUAUUACCCCGCAAAUAUGACGCAUUGGAAUAUGUAUCUGAAUAUACCGGCACUCGAUCCCGCUAUCCGUCCGCACAUAACCCAUGGGCAUAUCGGCGAAUACAAUUGUUGCGAUGAUUACUGUUAUUGUUACGGGGGUCCCCGGGAUACCGCGGGGCCGAGAAGGAUUAGGGAAGUGUUACGAUUUCCGCCCUGUAAACGCACGGAUAAAAAUUAUCGAGUUUCCUAUCGCCGGUCAAUCCCCCGCAGCGUAUACGAACGAAGCCCUGGGCAUUUCACAAUUCUUAACGGUCCUCCCGCAUCUGCGCCAUUUUGGUAACGGCUCAACGUUGUACCUCAAUAAUGAGUCUCGUCCGAGUUUAUCAACUCGUCGUUUUGGCAACACCCGGUGUACAUGCAAUCUUCAUCGCUUAGGUGUUUGCGGGUGCACGUGUCCGUGAUAAUCUGAGUUAUGAAGUCCCCGGUCUAAAAGAUUUUAGUCGGAAUCAGGUGUUUCGCUUGUAUAGUUUGCCGUUAGUCGUAUAGUCGUA